rnacentral:tRNA from 1 species
GGUGCUUUGGCUCAAAUGGUAGAGCACUUGCCUUGAGAUCAAGAGCUGAGGGACAGUGCCAGGCCCCAGAAUUCAAGCCCCA